rnacentral:ncRNA from 1 species
GGGGUAGAGGUCGCGGCUUUUAUUAGUAUAAUGGACGAGAUGCAGAGAGAUUGGAUGACUCCAUUAGAAAGGAAAAGCUGCCGAAGUGUACUUUUUGCUCUGAAAAAGUAUGCUGGGGCUGUUUCCGAUAAGGAACAGAACUGUCACGUUUGAAUUUACCACUCAGACGUGUUGAGCUAUCU